AUGAAGACGUCCACUCGCGCUCUGGUGGCGUUCCUGUGGCUGCAGACCGACUGGCUCAGCCAGGGCGAGAAAGUGGAGCAGAAGCUUUCCACCCUGAGCGUCCAGGAGGGGAGCAGCGCUGUCCUCAACUGCACCUAUUCAGACAGCGCCUCAGAUUACUUCCCCUGGUACAAGCAAGAACCUGGAAAAGGUCUCCAGCUCAUUAUAUACAUUCGUUCACCUAGAAGUGAUAAUAAAGGACCUAGAUACACUGUCUUAUUGGAUACAAAAGCGCAACUGCUCUCGCUGCUCAUCCCAGCCGCGCAGGUGGGAGACUCGGCCGUGUACUUCUGCGCAGCGGGCACAGUGCAGCCCCGGCACCCGCAGCCCGCACUGAAAGUGCGCGCAGCCUCCCCUCGCCCCGCCCUCCCGCCAAGCCCAGCCUCUGCGGUGUUUGUCUGCCGGGGGAACUAG